GGAACCCCUAGUUUCAGUUGCAGUCAGAAGACUUGGCUGGGAAAAUAGUUAAUAUUAGAUUAUGUUUCAUUGCUGUCACAUAAAUUAAACUUUAUUUGUUUUUAGGUUCCUGUAGAAAACAAUGCUGUCAAUGUCACUGUUUCAAAUUUAAAUGCUAUGUCUUCAUACAUUGUUCAGCUCAGAUGCAUAGCCAAGGAUGGUCUCCACUGUGUUUGCAUUUGGAGUAAAGAGAUUUUGGUCCCUCACAGUAAGUGAAAUAUAGUUUUGUCCUACUAGGAAUAUGCAUAAAUGUAAAAGUCUUUUUAAAUUUUCUGUCACAUGGAAUAGCAUUAUCAGAUACUGUUGAAAAUAUGAAGAUCAAACUGAUUCAUAUGACUGCAUGUCUCCAUCUUUUUCCAUGUUUACCAGAACUCACAAAAAAGCCAAGGAUAUCACAUAAUGAAACUACAGAAAUCUCUCCAGGCAGAAGAAGGGUUCUUCUGAAGUGGGAGGUAACACAAAGCAAGAACAUCCUUGGGUAUUACGUUAAGGUGGAAAGAAUACCCAACAGUUGCAGGGAUUCACCAAGUCCCAUCUUUCUAGAGGACAGAGAAGUUCUUCUAAAUCUAUCCAUGGCUUAUUAUAGUGUUAAUAUUUCCGCCUAUAACAAAGCAGGAGAAUCUCCACAAGCCAUCUACAUUGUUCCAGACUUCUCUGCAACAGACUUGCCUGGCCAGAUUCAUGUCAAACACCAGGGAACUAAUGCAGUUGUCACCUGGACUCCUGAAUACAAUCCAAAAUGUUUUGUGGUUGACUGGGGCACUGGUAAAGGGGAUAUGCGCAUGAAAAUAGUAACUACGGCUACUGGAAAUUUCACG
ensembl:lncRNA